UUACUGGCUCAGGAUGAACGCUAGCGGCAGGCUUAACACAUGCAAGUCGAGGGGCAUCGGGAGUAGCAAUACUUGCCGGCGACCGGCGCAAGGGUGCGUAACGCGUGAGCAACAUGCCCGUAUCAGGGGGAUAAUCCAUGGAAACGUGGUCUAAUACCCCAUAGUAAUUAUGUAAGGCAUCUUAUAUAAUUUAAAGCUUUGGUGGAUACGGAUUGGCUCGCGUGACAUUAGCUAGAUGGUAAGGUAACGGCUUACCAUGGCUACGAUGUCUAGGGGUUCUGAGAGGAAGGUCCCCCACACUGGAACUGAGACACGGUCCAGACUCCUACGGGAGGCAGCAGUGAGGAAUAUUGGACAAUGGAUGGAAAUCUGAUCCAGCCAUGCCGCGUGCAGGAAAGACGGCCCUAUGGGUUGUAAACUGCUUUUGUAUGGGAGCAAUAAGGGCUACGCGUAGUCCGAUGAGAGUACCAUACGAAUAAGCACCGGCUAACUCCGUGCCAGCCGCUGC
rnacentral:rRNA from 1 species